rnacentral:rRNA from 1 species
AAUUAACGUUUAGGAAACGAACGCUAAUACCGCAUACGCCGGAAACGGGAAGAUUUAUCGGUGGUGGAUGUGCCCGCGUUGGAUUAGCUUGUUGGUGGGGUAAUGGCCUACCAAGGCGAUGAUCCAUAGCUGGUCUGAGAGGACGAUCAGCCACGCUGGAACUGAGACACGGUCCAGACUCCUACGGGAGGCAGCAGCUAAGAAUAUUGGGCAAUGGAGGAAACUCUGACCCAGCCAUGCCGCGUGAAUGAAGAAGGCCUUCGGGUUGUAAAGUUCUUUUAGUCGUGAAGAUGAUGACAGUAGCGACAGAAAAAGCACCGGCUAACUUCGUG